rnacentral:rRNA from 1 species
GUCCUCCCAACAGAACAAACCCCCCGGCGUAAAAUGCGCCAAGGAAUCUUAAAUGAAAAGAGAAGGUAACCAGCACCCUAGCGUGCCGGGAAACGAAAUUCCCAGGGGCGGUGGGUUCCUUUGUUAAAAAACUAAUUGACUCUCGGCAACGAAUUUCUGGCUUCUCCCAUCAUUAAAAAACUUACCAAAUUGCAAUACUUGGGGUAAAUUGCAAAAUCCCUGGAACCUUCAAUUUUUUAAACCCAGUUGCCCCCCAAAGCCUUCGGGCCAAGGGAACUUUGGCUGGGGGGUCAGGUCCCGUUGCCCCUUCCAAUUCCUUUGGGGGGAAAAUCGAAUUAGGGGCGAAAAAUGGCCUCCCUGGGGCCCCCGUUCGGGGUGGGCCAAAUUUUAAUUCUUUGGGAAUAUGGCCCC